rnacentral:tRNA from 3 species
AUUUAUUUAGUAUAUAUGUACAUUUGACUUCCAAUCAAAAAGAUUGAAAUACUUCAAAAUAAAUA